GCAUCCUUGGGAGUCCAUUUUCUCUGCACUCCGAAGGCAGAGGUCACAGGUUCGAAUCCUGUCGGGUGCG
rnacentral:tRNA from 1 species